AGCGAACGCUGGCGGCGUGCCUAACACAUGCAAGUCGAACGUGAAAGGGAGCAAUCCCAAGUAAAGUGGCGUACGGGUGAGUAACGCGUAGGUAAUCUACCCCAGAAUCUGGAAUAACCUGCCGAAAGGCGGGCUAAUACUGGAUAGAGCGAUGGAAUCCGUAAUUGGGUUUUUCGGGAAAGGGGGGCCGUAAGGUCUCUCGUUUUGGGAUGAGCCUGCGUCUCAUUAGCUAGUUGGUAGGGUAACGGCCUACCAAGGCAUUGAUGGGUAGCUGGUC
rnacentral:rRNA from 1 species